UCGAGCGGACAGAUGGGAGCUUGCUCCCUGAUGUUAGCGGCGGACGGGUGAGUAACACGUGGGUAACCUGCCUGUAAGACUGGGAUAACUCCGGGAAACCGGGGCUAAUACCGGAUGCUUGUUUGAACCGCAUGGUUCAAAUAUAAAAGGUGGCUUUUAGCUACCACUUACAGAUGGACCCGCGGCGCAUUAUCUAGUUGGUGAGGUAACGGCUCACCAAGGCAACGAUGCGUAGCCGACCUGAGAGGGUGAUCGGCCACACUGGGACUGAGACACGGCCCAAACUCCUACGGGAGGCAGCAGUAGGGAAUCUUCCGCAAUGGACGAAAGUCUGACGGAGCAACGCCGCGUGAGUGAUGAAGGUUUUCGGAUCGUAAAACUCUGUUGUUAGGGAAGAACAAGUACCGUUCGAAUAGGGUGGUACCUUGACGGUACCUGACCAUAAAGCCACGGUUAACUACUUGCCAGCAGCCGCGGUAUUACGUAGGUGGCAAGCGUUGUCCGGAAUUAUUGGGCGUAAAGCGCGCGCAGGCGGUUUCUUAAGUCUGAUG
rnacentral:rRNA from 1 species